CUGGCUGCCAAAGUGUUUGAAUUCAUCUGCAAGCUCUGCCUGCCCUUAGCUAUUGCAGGAAGCGUGGUGAACUCUGCCAUAUAUAAUGUGGAUGCUGAACACAGAGUUGUCAUCUUCGACCUGUUCCAUGGAGUACAGGACACUGUGGUAGGAGAAGGGACUCACUUUCUCUCCUCAUGGAUACAGAAAGAAACCAGGUAUCUUUGACUGCGGCUCUCGACCAUGCAAUGUGCCAUUCAUCACUGGUAGCAAAGUAGAGAGAAUGUCAGCAUCUCUGCGCAUCCUCUUCCCACCUGUCACAGGCCAGCUUCUUCACAUCCUUACCAGCGCUGGAGAGGACUGUGAUGAGCACGUGCUGUGGUCCAUA
rnacentral:lncRNA from 1 species